GUGGGGAAUAUUGGACAAUGGGCGCAAGCCUGAUCCAGCCAUGCCGCGUGAGUGAUGAAGGCCUUAGGGUUGUAAAGCUCUUUCAGUAGGGAAGAUAAUGACGGUACCUACAGAAGAAGCCCCGGCUAACUUCGUGCCAGCAGCCGCGGUAAUACGAAGGGGGCUAGCGUUGUUCGGAUUUACUGGGCGUAAAGCGCACGUAGGCGGAAUGUUAAGUCAGAGGUGAAAUCCUGGAGCUCAACUCCAGAACUGCCUUUGAUACUGGCAAUCUCGAGUCCGGAAGAGGUGAGUGGAACUCCUAGUGUAGAGGUGGAAUUCGUAGAUAUUAGGAAGAACACCAGUGGCGAAGGCGGCUCACUGGUCCGGUACUGACGCUGAGGUGCGAAAGCGUGGGGAGCAAACAGGAUUAGAUACCCGUGUAGUCC
rnacentral:rRNA from 1 species